CCUUGUACACACCGCCCGUCACACCACGAAAGCUGGCUGUACCAGAAGCCGCUGGGCUAACCCUUCGGGGGGUAGGCGUCUAAGGUAUGGUCAGUGAUUGGGGUG
rnacentral:rRNA from 1 species